UGCUCCUUGGGCACCUGUCUCAGUGCCCAUGUUCACUGGGCGUCUUUCCGUCUGCCCUUUAGCCCACGUGGAGAACGCCAGGGAGCUGUGAGGGUGUGCCAUCACGUUUCUGCCUUCUGGACACUUUCCUCUACUGAGAUUCAUCUGUGUGAAAUAUGAGUUGGCGAGGAAGAUCGACCUAUCGGCCUAGACCAAGACGCUAUGUAGAGCCUCCUGAAAUGAAUGGGCCUAUGCUGCCUGAGAAGUUCAGUGAUGAAGUGGAACGACCAAAACCUGAAGAAGGGGAACCAGCAACUCAAAGUCAGGAUCCUGCACCUGCUCAGCAGGGAGAGGAUGACGGAGCAUCUGCAGGUCAAGUUGCAGGUGUCACACCUUGGAUUCACCAUAGCCGGCUGAAACCAGUGGCAGCAGUGACUCCCGACAAUGACCAGUGGAUUAGCCAACAAGACCCAGAUUGCCCCACCCGAAUGGUCCUGCGGCGAAACCCAACCACCGCUAAAAAGGACGACUGCCCUGCUCUGACCACACCAGAGGCUGGUCAGUCUACACACGGCUGAAGCUUGAGGAUCCUACAAGCUCUGCUCUAGUCGCAUCCUGGAAGCUGACUAGUCUAUGCACAGCCGAAGCUAAGAGGACCAUCUCUGGAUAAUUAAAUAAAUCGAUGAUAAUGGCUGAUCUGUCAUGGAAAUCACAGCUAGAAUGUGCAAGUUGGCCCAUGUUCCAGUUCAGACUUGGUCCAGAUGGUCCUCGGAUUCAUUGUUUGGAGGACGGUUCUCAACCUCUGGAGGAUUCAAAACUCUCAUUGGGCCGGAGCCUGAAGCUGAUAGCCAGGAAGAGGUUCACCCAAAGACUGGGUGUGAGUGUGGAGAUGGUCCUGAUGGCCAG